rnacentral:lncRNA from 7 species
GAUUAUAAUUUGUUCUCUUUUGAUUUCCCUUAACAUUAAGAUAUGUUAUCGUGUUUAGGAUGAGCGAAGAAGGCUGUACUUGUAUAGUGCAUUAUUCAACCCCCUCCGAAGUAUGUUCUACCUGGACAAAAGAUCUAAGAAGGUAACAAUAAAGUUGUGCAUCAUCUGAUUUUUCUUUUUUUUUCUAAUGCAAGGCUCUGAAAAUUUUGUAAUGGUUCAGUUUGUCCAUUUGUGUCACUAAUAAGUCAUUUAAAAGCAACUAUCAAUUGGUACAUUUACUUGAUAGUAUUAUGCUAUAUUAACUGGAGAGGCAAGCUUGCAGUGCCAUGACUAUUUCUUUUUUUCAGCAUGCAACAUUAUGUGCAGUGUUCUUGAUGCUUUUUCUUAAUCAUCAUAACACACUUUAACUGUUUAAGCAGCCAAAAAAAUUAUUUGUUAUAUCUACUAGG